AGAGUUUGAUCCUGGCUCAGAACGAACGCUGGCGGCGCGUUUUAAGCAUGCAAGUCGAACGGGAAAGUAGUGCUUGCACUACUGGAGAGUGGCGAACGGGUGAGUAACACGUAGGUGAUCUACCUUGAGGUUGGGGUUAGCCUGUGGAAACACAGGGUAAUACCGAAUACGUCCAUGGGAGUAAAGAACCAUGGGGAAAGGCGCGAUUGCGCCGCCUUGGGAUGAGCCUGCGGCUCAUUAGUUAGUUGGUGGGGUAACGGCUCACCAAGGCGACGAUGGGUAGGGGGUCUGAGAGGAUGGCCCCCCACACUGGGACUGAGACACGGCCCAGACUCCUACGGGAGGCAGCAGCUAAGAAUCUUCCGCAAUGGGGGAAACCCUGACGGAGCGACGCCGCGUGAACGAAGAAGGCCGGAAGGUUGUAAAGUUCUUUUCUUAGUUAAGAAUAAUAUAGCGAGGAAAUGCGUUAUAGAUGACGUUAGCUAAGGAAUAAGCCCCUGGCUAAUUACGUGCCAGCAGCCGCGGUAACACGUAAGGGGCGAGCGUUGUUCGGAAUUAUUGGGCGUAAAGGGCGCGUAGGCGGCUUGGCAAGCUUGGUGUUAAAAACAACGGCUUAACCGUUGGUAAGCAUUGGGAACUGCCUGGCUAGAGGUCUGGAGGGGGAGCUGGAAUUCCUGGUGUAGGGGUGAAAUCUGUAGAUAUCAGGAAGAACACCGGUGGCGAUGGCGAGCUCCUGGCCGGAAACUGACGCUGAGGCGCGAAAGCGUGGGGAGCGAACAGGAUUAGAUACCCUGGUAGUCCACGCUGUAAACGAUGUGCACUAGGUGUCUGUCUGUAGAGGAUGGGUGCCGUAGCAAACGCGAUAAGUGCACCGCCUGGGGAGUAUGCUCGCAAGGGUGAAACUCAAAGGAAUUGACGGGGGCCCGCACAAGCGGUGGAGCAUGUGGUUUAAUUCGAUGAUACGCGAGGAACCUUACCAGGGCUUGACAUAUACAGUGAAGCGUGUGAGAGCAGGCUGCCACUUUUGUGGACUGUAUACAGGUGCUGCAUGGUUGUCGUCAGCUCGUGCUGUGAAGUGUUGGGUUAAGUCCCGCAACGAGCGCAACCCCUGCUGUCUGUUGCUACCAGGUAAUGCUGAGGACUCAGGCGGUACUGCCGGUGACAAACCGGAGGAAGGUGGGGACGACGUCAAAUCAUCAUGGCCCUUAUGUCCUGGGCUACACACGUGCUACAAUGGCAAGUACAGAGUGACGCGAGACCGCGAGGUGGAGCAAAUCACAUAAAGCUUGUCUCAGUACGGAUUGGAGUCUGAAAUUCGACUUCAUGAAGGUGGAAUCGCUAGUAAUCGCGCAUCAGCAUGGCGCGGUGAAUACGUUCCCGGGCCUUGUACACACCGCCCGUCACACCACCCGAGUUGGGGGUACCCGAAGUCGCUUGUCUAACUGUUUACGGAGGACGGUGCCGAAGGUAUGCCUGGUAAGGGGGGUGAAGUCGGAACAAGGUA
rnacentral:rRNA from 1 species